AUAAAGAUAGCACAAAUCCAAACCAGUAAGUACUAAGUACAUAUAUUACUUCAAUUUUCUUUUAUAACUAUCAUCAUAUCAUGCUCUUGGUUUUAAUUUGUUCAUAAGUAAUAACGAUUGAUAGCUGCAACUAGAAACCUGCCCAUCCAGCAGGUUUGGUCGAAGCAGCGGGCCUGAUCGAAGCAGUAGGCUUGGUUGAAGUGGCCGGCUUGACUGAAGUAGUAGGCUUGAUUGAAGUGGCUGGCUUGGCUGAAGUAGUAGGCUUAGUGGAAAUGACUGGCUUAGUUGAAGCGGUUUCGGAUUUUUUUACCUCACUGUUGUUGUACCGAUGGGAGGUAUUUCCCUGAGGAAUAGGGGCUGCUGUGAAACUCUCCUUCCCAAAGCCCCAGGUACCAUUUGUACUAGCACCUGUGCUUGAAGGUCCACCACUUCCUUGACGGUUGAUUGUUGUCCGAACUGAUUUGGGACGACUUCCCUUUGUGGUGGACUGAUUUGCUAAUGGCUUUGGCUCAUUAGCAAAUGGUUGCCAUGAGUUUUGAUCUGGAUUUGAUGAAAGGGGGACAUUUGCAAACAUUUCUUGCUGGAGUUCUAAUACAGAUCCUUCAAUUUUUUCCCUCUGCCGUAGCAUGGAAAUAACAAUUAAAUUGUUGAACCAACCAAGAGCACAUGAAGAGUUCAUUAGGGAUAAAAAUUUAAAAUACCUGAGAGGAUGGUGGCAAGCUCACACCAGUAAUUUGGUGUCUCUUAUUGUCUUUGUUUGGUGAAGAUUGCCUCACUUUAGUAACUUUCUGCUUUAACUCCUGAAUCUCUUGCCGUUGGGAACGGCAAAUAGAGGACAAUUUUUCGUACUUGGAAUUUAUCUCAGUUUUUUCUAAAUUAGAUUGCUUCAGCUGCUCCUUCAAUUUAUCCACUUCAACUAAUAACUCCUUUUCAGACUUACUGUUAUUAUUACCGUUAGCAGUACUAAGUUUUGUAGUGUCAAAAUCAGCAACGAAAGUAUUGAAUGCUUCAUUUCCAAAUGUAGGUGUUUUCUCGGACAAUGAUGAUCUGAUUUUUGAAUUUUCAACAUGUGAUUCCCGUGUCUUUCCUGAACCACUGUCGCUAUCAAAUCUAAUUUCAAAGUCCUCAUUGGUAUCAUACGAUUUGUUCAAGGGAUUCCCAGAAUUGAUUUUGUUCAGUGGUUUUUGAGGGUGUGGUUCUCUUGGAGGACUAGUUCUCUUCACAUAACUCUGCUGGCUCGGUUUAGGUGUGACCUGGCUUAUAGGUUCUUCAUGAUAUGUAGCCCAAAACAUACCUAAGGGUGCUCCAUCACCACUUGUUUUAGAAGAACUCACGGAAACUUUGUGCUGCUGCUCUUUGUUUGCAUAUUGUGGCGAUUUUUUACGAGCAUGUUCACUUUUAGAAGCUGAAGACACAGGUGUUCCUUUCGUGGAUCCUAAAAACAAAUUGACUUAUCAGAAAAGCAAAUAAAUUGACUUAUCAGAUAAUACUGUGAGGCAGCCUCUGAUUACCAAAAGAUUAUUUUGAAACAAUUCACAAAAAAUGACCUUCGUAGCGUGCAUUUACAGGUGGCAUUUGCAUAUUUGGAAUUGUUGUUUUAGGAGGGCCAUCAGGUGUCUCCUUUUGCAACUGUACAGGGAGUAGUAAGUUAACGCGAAACCACACCUGCCAGAAAUAAAAAGGUGUCAAUAUAAUUCAGGUUCUCCAAAAUCAUGAUCAUUGCAUGUGCAACAAUCAAAAACUAACCUAGAUUCAUGGAGAUGAAUGGCCAAUCAAGCAAAGCUCUUGCCUGCG
rnacentral:lncRNA from 1 species